rnacentral:rRNA from 1 species
GACGAACGCUGGCGGCGUGCUUAACACAUGCAAGUCGAACGGUGAUGCUCCAGCUUGCUGGAGUGGAUCAGUGGCGAACGGGUGAGUAACACGUGAGCAACCUGCCCCAGACUCUGGAAUAAGCGCUGGAAACGGCGUCUAAUACUGGAUACGAAACUGGCACGCAUGGGCAUGGGUUGGAAAGUUUUUCGGUUUGGGAUGUGGUCGCGUCCUAGCAGCUUGUUGGUGGGGUAAUGGAUCACCAAGUCGACGACGGGUAGGCGGCGUGAGAGGGCGAGCGGCGACACUGGGACUGAGGCGCGGCCGAGACUGCUACGGGGGGCAGCGGUGGGGAAUAGUGGACAAUGGGCGAAAGCCUGAUCCAGCAACGCCGCGUGAGGGAUGACGGCCUUCGGGGUGUACACCUCUUUCAGCACCGACGAAGCGACCGGUCGGGUGGUGACGGUAGGUACAGAAGAAGGACCGGCCAACUACGUG